rnacentral:rRNA from 1 species
AGAGUUUGAUCAUGGCUCAGAUUGAACGCUGGCGGCAUGCCUUACACAUGCAAGUCGAACGGCAGCAUGAUCUAGCUUGCUAGAUUGAUGGCGAGUGGCGAACGGGUGAGUAAUACAUCGGAACGUGCCCUGUAGUGGGGGAUAACUAGUCGAAAGAUUAGCUAAUACCGCAUACGACCUGAGGGUGAAAGUGGGGGACCGCAAGGCCUCAUGCUAUAGGAGCGGCCGAUGUCUGAUUAGCUAGUUGGUGAGGUAAAGGCUCACCAAGGCGACGAUCAGUAGCUGGUCUGAGAGGACGAUCAGCCACACUGGGACUGAGACACGGCCCAGACUCCUACGGGAGGCAGCAGUGGGGAAUUUUGGACAAUGGGCGAAAGCCUGAUCCAGCAAUGCCGCGUGUGUGAAGAAGGCCUUCGGGUUGUAAAGCACUUUUGUCCGGAAAGAAAUGGCUCUGGUUAAUACCUGGGGUCGAUGACGGUACCGGAAGAAUAAGGACCGGCUAACUACGUGCCAGCAGCCGCGGUAAUACGUAGGGUCCAAGCGUUAAUCGGAAUUACUGGGCGUAAAGCGUGCGCAGGCGGUUGUGCAAGACCGAUGUGAAGUCCCCGAGCUUAACUUGGGAAUUGCAUUGGUGACUGCACGGCUAGAGUGUGUCAGAGGGGGGUAGAAUUCCACGUGUAGCAGUGAAAUGCGUAGAGAUGUGGAGGAAUACCGAUGGCGAAGGCAGCCCCCUGGGAUAACACUGACGCUCAUGCACGAAAGCGUGGGGAGCAAACAGGAUUAGAUACCCUGCUAGUCCACGCCCUAAACGAUGUCAACUAGUUGUUGGGGAUUCAUUUCCUUAGUAACGUAGCUAACGCGUGAAGUUGACCGCCUGGGGAGUACGGUCGCAAGAUUAAAACUCAAAGGAAUUGACGG